GAGUGCGGUGAAAUUCCUGGCGGGGGGAGCGGGAGGUGGCGGCGCUGAGGGCUCGGAGCAGGAGGCGGAGGGCGGCUCGGAGCCACGGCCGCGCUGCCCUGCCCGGGACCCUGCGUGCUGUGGCGGCCGGCGCCGAGCCAGACCCCCGGCGGGCGCGGAGCGGACGGGCUGAGGGACGCUCGCCGCCACCUCUCGCAGCGCCAGGAGCCGCGCCGUCCCCGCCGCCGCUGGGACUCCCUCCCCGGGCAGAGCGGGGGAGAAUGACGGAGCUCCAGUCCGCCUUGCUACUGCGGAGACAACUAGCAGAGCUCAACAAAAAUCCAGUGGAAGGCUUUUCAGCGGGCUUAAUAGAUGACAAUGAUCUUUAUCGAUGGGAAGUCCUUAUUAUUGGUCCUCCAGAUACACUAUAUGAAGGUGGUGUUUUCAAGGCUCAUCUUACUUUUCCAAAAGACUACCCACUGAGGCCGCCAAAAAUGAAAUUCAUCACAGAAAUCUGGCAUCCGAAUGUUGACAAGAACGGCGAUGUCUGCAUUUCAAUUCUUCAUGAGCCUGGAGAAGACAAAUAUGGCUAUGAAAAACCUGAGGAACGCUGGCUUCCCAUUCACACAGUGGAAACUAUAAUGAUUAGUGUUAUUUCUAUGCUGGCAGAUCCCAAUGGUGAUUCUCCUGCUAAUGUUGAUGCAGCGAAAGAAUGGAGAGAAGACAGAAAUGGAGAAUUUAAAAGAAAAGUUGCCCGCUGUGUAAGAAAAAGCCAAGAAACUGCUUUUGAGUGACACUUAUUCAGCAGCUAGUAGCUUCACUUUUUUCAGGGUGAUGAGUUUGGAUUUAUCCAUCUUCUGUUCAGAGGUCUCCAAUUGAGAAACAUGGCACUGUUUUUUUUCCUGCACUCUACCCACCUAUUGCUGGACUUCUGUUGUUACAAGUUGGCAAACACUGGCUGGAACUGGGCUGCAAUAAAACAUGCCAGUUAUCAAUGCUGACAAGAGCCUAACAAGUGCCAACACAAGAUGAUUACGCAUUUUGAAAUCUAAUGAACUGCUUUAACCUUCAGGAAGAAUUGUAAAGAUGUGUACAUAGCACAACAUGAUCCGGAUAAUAUAUAUACUGUUCAUGUACAUCCACAAAUACACAUUGUACCAAAUAAUGCUGUCUGUAGUUAGGGAUAGAAUUGUGUAAAUUCUAAAGAUUUUAGCAGGUUUUUUCUCUCCCUAUUCAUUGUUUCCUGAGUUAAAAAAAACAGCAACUUGUGAAGCAUGUCAAAACAAAUUAGGAUACUAAGUUGGUUUUUUUGGUUUUGGUUUUUUGUUCCUCCCACUUUAAUUUUCCUUUGACCCACCGAGGCUUAAUUAAAAUUUCUUGCUUAUUAAAGUUUAGUAUCUCUUUUUUUUUUUUUUUUUUUUUUUUGGGUUUUUGGAAAUGUGGUCCCCUUUUAUUUCCUCCAUCAGAACUUAACAAUUUUCCUAAUUAAACCCUGAAAGGAUUUGCUAUCAGUUACUUGUGUCUUCUUUUAUGAUGACCUUUGUAAUCUCAAAGGUGCUUUUUUUCUUCCCACCCGUUUUUUAAACUCAAUUACUCAUCCUUCUUGAAUUUGGUAUAGCAAUAAAACUGGCCAUGGAGCACCCUUGAGCAGCCUGAUGGAUUUUUAACUUCCAAGGACUUGAAUGCUUUCACUUGGAAGUUUGGUUGACUAAGUUAGACCAAGAUAGGAAUGAGCUGCUUUUUAUGGGUGAAAUUUUUGGUUUGCCUUUUUCAUUGCCUGUUUGUGGGGUGGGGUGUGUGGGGGGGAGGCUUGUUUUUUCUCAAGGUUGAGUUCAAGCAUGCACAUCUGUAGGCUUUCAAAUGACUAACUUCUGGGUUUGGUAUCAAAAAUAGUUUCCCUCCUUUUACUCUUUUCUGUGGCCCUUCAUCUGCUUUGCCUUCUAUCUACUUCAGAGUUUUCCUCACCUAAUGUACAAAGAAAAUGGCGAUGUAUAUUUUCAUGUAAUUUGAUUUUUGGAAUUCUGUCACCUUCUGUAGUGAGUUCUUCCAAAAUAUAAUUUUUUCCAAUAA